rnacentral:rRNA from 1 species
UACGUAGGGUGCAAGCGUUAAUCGGAAUUACUGGGCGUAAAGCGCGCGCAGGCGGUUUUGUAAGUCUGUCGUGAAAUCCCCGGGCUCAACCUGGGAAUUGCGUUGGAGACUGCAAGGCUUGAAUCUGGCAGAGGGGGGUAGAAUUCCACGUGUAGCAGUGAAAUGCGUAGAGAUGUGGAGGAACACCGAUGGCGAAGGCAGCCCCCUGGGGCAAGAUUGACGCUGAUGCACGAAAGCGUGGGGAGCAAACAGG